GACGAACGCUGGCGGCGUGCCUAAUACAUGCAAGUCGAGCGGAUGACGAGGAGCUUGCUCCUCUGAUUCAGCGGCGGACGGGUGAGUAACACGUGGGCAACCUGCCUGUAAGACUGGGAUAACUUCGGGAAACCGGAGCUAAUACCAGAUAACUCUUCGAACCUCAUGGUUCGAAGAUAAAAGAUGGUUUCGGCUAUCACUUACAGAUGGGCCUGCGGCGCAUUAGCUAGUUGGUGAGGUAACGGCUCACCAAGGCGACGAUGCGUAGCCGACCUGAGAGGUGAUCGGCCACACUGGGACUGGAGACACGGGCCCAGACUCCUACGGGUGGCUG
rnacentral:rRNA from 1 species